rnacentral:tmRNA from 1 species
UGUAUUUAAAUCUUAAAAAGCUAAGGAAUCAAUAGGCGGUUUUCGGUCAGUUGUUUCUCGAAAAUCAAUCGAAAACUAAGCAUGUAGAAAGCUAAUUAAUGGCUUGUUUGGACGAGGGUUCGAAUCCCUCCGGCUCCACAU